GAGAAUGCCGGUAUUUGGAGACUGAUUUGAAUCGGAGGAGGGAUUUCACAGGGAGUAGAGAUAGAAUAAGCAUCAACACGUCUGCCGAAGAAGAGUGAGUCGAGGAGCAGGAGGAGAGAGAGGCGAGGAGGAGGAGGAGGAGGAGGAGCCUCCAUUGACGCUUAACGCGAUUGGGUAUAGGAGUGUGGUGUUGAAAAUGCAAAUCCUUUCU